AGCAAUUCCGCGCCGGUCCACGCCAGUUCAAGUGUUGCUGCAGCAUGCCGUCUACCUCGAGCACAAAUUAACAAGGAUUUGGAUGCAAGUUUUUCCACCCCAGUCAACAUGUCCUCUGAAAGCAUUACAGACAUUACCAGGCGUGAUUCUAACCACUCCGUGCCUGUCUACAGACUGCACCUGAGCUUUCAAGACAACUGAGUUCUACAGAAUUACUCGAGUGGACCUGAAGAGGAUCUUCCUGUCAUCAUUGGAUGCACACUAAUCGCAGCUUAUUAAGCUGUACAGAUCACGCCGUGGAACACUUGGAAAGGACAUGAGGAUCCUUCUAGACAACUUUGAUGAACAGACAACUGAUGUGCUUGCCCACAGAAAGUCUACAGCUCUAUGGGGUCUACCGUUCUUUGAUGGAGAAGCCGGACGGCUUUCUGAAGAAAUAUCUGACCCGGAGGAAUUUUGUGUCAAGGGAGUUGAACUUGGAAUACUCAGUUGUUGAAGAUGGCGUUGGGACGGUCUGCUCAAGUCCAACAGCAAUAAGCAUCGCCCUGGUUAUUGAGGAACGGAUUAUCCUGGAGGAUGUAUGCGACUUCCCAACCGCAUUUGCCCUUUUGUUUGGGCUCAUCUAGGCUCUUAACCUGGACUAUCCGAAGGACUUACGGUACACAUUUUUGAAGUAAUUCAAAAGGUGUUCAUGAACCUUGGUACCCAGUGCUCUACCCGGGUUCAGGCCUUAAAGAACUGUUUGCUGAAGUAGCCUGCCAUAUCUAAACCACACCUAUGGUCUUGGCUGGAUUUUCAUGAGGGACUGAAAUGUCACCAACUUGACCAAAUGCCGAUGGUAUGAGUUGACCAAAUUGGUCAACACCCUUAAGUAUUAGAUGUUUAACAAGUUUAUUAUUUGCCUUACUACUUUGUAUAUUACAGCUGAACUAUCCACUGAUGGUCCUGCACUUUAGGUGUAUUAUAAUUUAAUAUUAAUUUUAGUUUAUUGUUGUUACUGCCACAUAGCGCCAUGCAGGCAUAUAUUUGCAUUUAUUUUUGUUUUGACCGAGUAUUAGGAGAGAACUUUAGUCGGUGUCUUUGGGUUUAAAAUGGCGUGAAGUAGAGAUUAUAAGGAUGUUGACCCCCUGCUGUCUACUAUUCAAGUGUUGAAAUUGAAAGACAAUAUUGUUUUGCAAGCAAAUAACUUAUUGUUAUUAAACAUUUUG